GACAGAGGAGCCAAGCGUUGUCCGGAUUGACUGGGCGUAAAGCGCACGCAGGCGGGUGCGCGCGUGGGGUGUGAAACCUGGCCGCUUAACGGCCAGCGGCCAUCCCAUACGGCGCGCCUGGAGCCUUGCAGAGGGCGGUGGAAUGCCGGUGUAGUGGUGAAAUGCGUAGAGAUCGGCAGGAACACCCAGGGAGAAAUCAGC
rnacentral:rRNA from 1 species